rnacentral:rRNA from 1 species
AACGAACGCUGGCGGCAUGCCUAACACAUGCAAGUCGAACGAGACCUUCGGGUCUAGUGGCGCACGGGUGCGUAACGCGUGGGAACCUGCCCUUAGGUUCGGAAUAACUCCCCGAAAGGGGUGCUAAUACCGGAUAAUGUCUUCGGACCAAAGAUUUAUCGCCUUUGGAUGGGCCCGCGUUGGAUUAGCUAGUUGGUAGGGUAAAAGCCUACCAAGGCGACGAUCCAUAGCUGGUCUGAGAGGAUGAUCAGCCACACUGGGACUGAGACACGGCCCAGACUCCUACGGGAGGCAGCAGUGGGGAAUAUUGGACAAUGGGCGAAAGCCUGAUCCAGCAAUGCCGCGUGAGUGAUGAAGGCCUUAGGGUUGUAAAGCUCUUUUACCCGGGAUGAUAAUGACAGUACCGGAAGAAUAAGCACCGGCUAACUACGUG